GAUGAACGCUGGCGGCGUGCCUAAUACAUGCAAGUCGAGCGAAUGGAUUAAGAGCUUGCUCUUAUGAAGUUAGCGGCGGACGGGUGAGUAACACGUGGGUAACCUGCCCAUAAGACUGGGAUAACUCCGUGAAACCGGGGCUAAUACCGGAUAACAUUUUGAACCGCAUGGUUCGAAAUUGAAAGGCGGCUUCGGCUGUCACUUAUGGAUGGACCCGGGUCGCAUUAGCUAGUUGGUGAGGUAACGGCUCACCAAGGCAACGAUGCGUAGCCGACCUGGGAGGGUGAUCGGCCACACUGGGACUGAGACACGGCCCAGACUCCUACGGGAGGCAGCAGUAGGGAAUCUUCCGCAAUGGACGAAAGUCUGACGGAGCAACGCCGCGUGAGUGAUGAAGGCUUUCGGGUCGUAAAACUCUGUUGUUAGGGAAGAACAAGUGCUAGUUGAAUAAGCUGGCACCUUGACGGUACCUAACCAGAAAGCCACGGCUAACUACGUGCCAGCAGCCGCCGUAA
rnacentral:rRNA from 1 species